rnacentral:rRNA from 1 species
UACGUAGGGCGCAAGCGUUGUCCGGAAUUAUUGGGCGUAAGAGCUCGUAGGCGGCCUGUCGCGUCUGCUGUGAAAUCCCGGGGCUUAACCCCGGGCGUGCAGUGGAUACGGGCUGGCUGGAGGCAGGCAGGGGAGAAUGGAAUUCCCGGUGUAGCGGUGAAAUGCGCAGAUAUCGGGAGGAACACCGGUGGCGAAGGCGGUUCUCUGGGACGGUACUGACGCUGAGACGCGAAAGCGUGGGGAGCGAACAGG